AGUGAACGCUGGCGGUAGGCCUAACACAUGCAAGUCGAACGGCAGCACAGUAAGAGCUUGCUCUUACGGGUGGCGAGUGGCGGACGGGUGAGGAAUACAUCGGAAUCUACUUUUUCGUGGGGGAUAACGUAGGGAAACUUACGCUAAUACCGCAUACGACCUACGGGUGAAAGCAGGGGAUCUUCGGACCUUGCGCGAUUGAAUGAGCCGAUGUCGGAUUAGCUAGUUGGCGGGGUAAAGGCCCACCAAGGCGACGAUUCGUAGCUGGUCUGAGAGGAUGAUCAGCCACACUGGAACUGAGACACGGUCCAGACUCCUACGGGAGGCAGCAGUGGGGAAUAUUGGACAAUGGGCGCAAGCCUGAUCCAGCCAUACCGCGUGGGUGAAGAAGGCCUUCGGGUUGUAAAGCCCUUUUGUGGGGAAAGAAAAGCAGCAGGUUAAUACCCCGCUGUUCUGACGGUACCCAAAGAAUAAGCACCGGCUAACUUCGUG
rnacentral:rRNA from 1 species